rnacentral:rRNA from 1 species
UACGUAGGGCGCAAGCGUUGUCCGGAAUUAUUGGGCGUAAAGAGCUCGUAGGCGGCUUGUCACGUCGGGUGUGAAAGCCCGGAGCUUAACUCCGGAGGGUCGGUGGAUACUGCCAGUCUUGAAGGUGCUAGGGGGAGAUGGAAUUACCGGUGUAGCGGUGAAAUGCGUAGAUAUCGGUAGGAACACCAGUGGCGAAGGCGGUCUCCUGGGGCAUUCUUGACGCUGAGGCGCGAAAGCUGGGGGAGCAAACGGG